GCCUGGGUGGCUCAGUCGGUUGAGCAUCCGACUUCAGCUCAGGUCAUGAUCUCACAGUUUGUGGGUUCGAGCCCUGCGUUAGGCU
rnacentral:tRNA from 1 species